rnacentral:rRNA from 1 species
GACGAACCGAGCGAACGUUAUUCGGAAUCACUGGGCUUAAAGGGUGCGUAGGCGGCGCUGAAAGUUGGGUGUGAAAUCCCUCGGCUCAACCGAGGAACUGCAUUCAAAACUACAGUGCUUGAGGGAGACAGAGGUGAGCGGAACUUAGGGUGGAGCGGUGAAAUGCGUUGAUAUCCUAAGGAACACCCGUGGCGAAAGCGGCUCACUGGGUCUCUUCUGACGCUGAGGCACGAAAGCUAGGGGAGCGAACGGG